rnacentral:tRNA from 1 species
GGGUUUGUGGCUCAGUGGUAGAGCAUUCGCCUCAUAUGUGUGAAGCCCUGGGUUUAAUCCUCAGCAUCUCA